AGUGAACGCUGGCGGUAGGCCUAACACAUGCGAGUCGAACGGCAGCACAGUAAGAGCUUGCUCUUACGGGUGGCGAGUGGCGGACGGGUGAGGAAUACAUCGGAAUCUACUUUUUCGUGGGGGAUAACGUAGGGAAACUUACGCUAAUACCGCAUACGACCUACGGGUGAAAGCAGGGGAUCUUCGGACCUUGCGCGAUUGAAUGAGCCGAUGUCGGAUUAGCUAGUUGGCGGGGUAAAGGCCCACCAAGGCGACGAUCCGUAGCUGGUCUGAGAGGAUGAUCAGCCACACUGGAACUGAGACACGGUCCAGACUCCUACGGGAGGCAGCAGUGGGGAAUAUUGGACAAUGGGCGCAAGCCUGAUCCAGCCAUACCGCGUGGGUGAAGAAGGCCUUCGGGUUGUAAAGCCCUUUUGUUGGGAAAGAAAAGCAGCAGGUUAAUACCCCGCUGUUCUGACGGUACCUAAAGAAUAAGCACCGGCUAACUUCGUG
rnacentral:rRNA from 1 species